CAAAUACCUACUAUAUAAAAAGAGAGUCACAUUUAGUGACUUUCAAAAGUGGGCAACAUAGAAGCCAAAUCGACUUUCUCUUAACCAAGAAGACAAAUAGAGCUCUAUGCAAGGAUUGCAAGGUCAUUCCAGGAGAGGCUUUAACAAGUCAACAUAGGUUGGUGGUCUUUGAUGUCAAGUUUAGGAACAAUUCAAGUAAGGUCAGAAGAAAUAGUGUA
rnacentral:misc_RNA from 1 species